rnacentral:rRNA from 1 species
UACGGGGGGGGCAAGCGUUGUUCGGAAUUACUGGGCGUAAAGAGCUCGUAGGUGGUUUGUCGCGUUGUUCGUGAAAACUCACAGCUCAACUGUGGGCGUGCGGGCGAUACGGGGCAGACUUGAGUACUGCAGGGGAGACUGGAAUUCCUGGUGUAGCGGUGAAAUGCGCAGAUAUCAGGAGGAACACCGGUGGCGAAGGCGGGUCUCUGGGCCGAUACUGACACUGAGGAGCGAAAGCGUGGGGAGCGAACGG